rnacentral:misc_RNA from 1 species
CUCUCUCUCUCUCUCUAAACUGUUUAUACUUCUCAACAAUAGCAUAUAAACCCUCACUUUCCCCCCUCUCUCUCUAGAAAUUUCGCUCUCUCUCUCUCUCUUAGGGUUUGGGUACUCUUUCAUUGCUAGGGUUUAUUGGUGCUGGAGUCUGUGUCUUUUCGAUUCAAUGGCGUCUUUGGCUAUGGCCGCCGAGAAGCUUAGAGAUUUAAGCCAGCCGAUUGAUGUUUCUUUACUCGAUGCUACUGUUGCUGCGUUCUAUGGCACCGGAUCUAAGGAAGAAAGGGCUACUGCAGACCGGAUAUUGCAGGAGUUGCAAAGCAAUGUGGAUAUGUGGCUACAGGUUGUGCACAUUUUACAAAAUACAAAGAACCUAAACACCAAGUUCUUUGCCUUGCAGGUCCUUGAAGGUGUUAUUAAGUAUAGAUGGAAUGCAUUGCCUGUUGAGCAACGGGAUGGAAUGAAAAAUUACAUUUCUGAAGUCAUUGUACAGCUUUCCAGUAAUGAGGCUUCUUUCCGAUUGGAAAGGCUAUAUGUCAACAAGCUCAACGUAAUUUUGGUUCAGAUAUUGAAACAUGAGUGGCCAGCUAGAUGGAGAAGCUUUAUUCCCGAUCUUGUUGCAGCAGCAAAAACUAGUGAAACAAUUUGUGAGAAUUGCAUGGUUAUAUUGAAACUUCUAAGUGAAGAAGUUUUUGAUUUCUCUCGUGGGGAAAUGACUCAACAGAAGAUCAAAGAGCUGAAACAAUCACUAAACAGUGAAUUUCAACUCAUCCAUGAGUUAUGCUUGUAUGUACUAUCAGCAUCUCAAAGAACUGAGCUUAUUCGGGCAACAUUGUCCACCUUGCAUGCAUUUCUUUCCUGGAUUCCCUUGGGCUAUAUUUUUGAAUCCCCCCUGCUGGAAACACUCCUUAAGUUCUUUCCUGUGCCCUCAUAUCGAAAUCUUACCCUCCAGUGUUUGACAGAGGUUGCAGCUCUAAAUUUUGGAGACUUCUAUAAUGUGCAGUAUGUUAAGAUGUAUAAUUUCUUCAUGGUCCAACUACAGGCCAUUCUUCCUCCAGCAACAAACAUUCCAGAGGCUUAUGCACAUGGUACUAAUGAGGAACAGGCAUUUAUUCAGAAUUUGGCAUUGUUUUUCACUUCAUUUUAUAAGUCCCAUAUUCGAGUGCUCGAGACUUCGCCAGAGAACAUAUCUGCAUUGAUGAUGGGUCUUGAAUAUCUAAUUAGUAUCUCAUAUGUUGAUGACACUGAGGUUUUUAAGGUUUGCUUGGAUUAUUGGAACUCCUUGGUUUUGGAGCUCUUUGAGGCACAUCAUAAUUUGGAUAAUCCUGCUGUAACUGCAAACAUGAUGGGAUUGCAGAUGCCUUUGCUUCAUGGUAUGGUUGAUGGCAUAGGUUCACAAAUAUUGCAACGGAGGCAGCUUUACGCUAAUCCAAUGUCAAAGUUGAGAAUGCUUAUGAUUUGUCGUAUGGCUAAACCUGAAGAAGUUCUCAUAGUUGAAGAUGAGAAUGGCAACAUUGUUCGAGAAACUAUGAAGGACAAUGAUGUUCUCGUUCAAUAUAAGAUUAUGAGAGAAACCUUGAUAUACUUGUCUCACCUUGAUCAUGAGGACACUGAAAAGCAGAUGCUCAAGAAAUUAAGUAAACAAUUGAGUGGUGAGGAUUGGAGCUGGAACAAUCUAAACACUCUAUGUUGGGCAAUAGGCUCCAUUUCUGGUUCCAUGAUGGAAGAACAGGAAAACAGAUUUCUGGUGAUGGUCAUUCGUGAUUUACUGAAUUUGUGUGAAAUCACCAAGGGAAAAGAUAACAAAGCUGUUAUUGCUAGUAACAUUAUGUAUGUGGUUGGGCAGUAUCCACGAUUUCUUAGAGCCCAUUGGAAAUUCUUGAAAACUGUUGUCAAUAAGUUGUUUGAGUUCAUGCAUGAAACACAUCCUGGAGUUCAGGUUAUUUUUGCUUUUGUGAUCCUUGACAUUGCUGUAUUUACAUCUUCCAUGCUGGAGGGUUUUUGUUUCCCUUAAAGAUUUAUAGGGUUGUAAUUUCGCCAAGUGGAGCUGGUUGGUGGCGAACCUGUUCUCAGCUUGAAUAUUUGUUUCUGAAGAUAAUCAGCUGGACACUUGUGAUGCUCACAGAGUUUCGGGCUGAAUUUUGCAAGCUUGGGACUAUCCUUAGUUGCCCCCAUACCUCUCCCUUCCUUUCUUAAUCUUGUUGUUCAUAGUCUUUCUUUGUUUGUUCAACCUAAUUUUUAAACCGAAUCUAUAACACUGUAAAAUGAAUUAAUUUGACACUAUAAAAUUAUUUUCUUGGUAAUAGAAAUAUAAUUAUGACCGAAAAACAAGCAUAACAAAUUACUAUUACUAUAACAUGCUAAAACAAAUCUACUCGCUGAUACAAACAUAAUAAUGGGAAUUGGGAAAAUCGAGUAUAACAAAUUACUAUUAAUCUAACAAAAUUAAGAGGAAAAAUACAUAUCAAUUCGGAGGUUCAAGCAUAUUUGGUAACACCUUAUCAGAAAAAUGUAGUAAAUAAAUAUAUUUAGAUAAAGCUGGGAUUUUACCUCACACAAAGAUUUGCUUGAAAAUUUUGGCCGAAUAAUUAAGUUUUUGGUCUACUGCAACCUAAUUAGCAGUCUUUAUGUUGUUGCAGUGUUGCUUGUUAGUGAUGGGUCACUUGUAGUAUUUUGCUGGAUAAAUUGGGUCUCUUUUUCUUGAAUAACCUGCUAUGGUAAUUUAUGACUUACACAUCAUUGUCUUCCAGGAUAUGGCUUGUGACACGUUCUUAAAAAUUGUUCAGAAAUGCAAACGGAAAUUCGUUAUUGUACAGGUGGGGGAAAGUGAACCAUUUGUGUCUGAACUUCUGUCAGGCCUUCCAACAACCGUUGCUGAUCUUGAGCCUCAUCAGAUCCAUACAUUUUAUGAAUCUGUAUAUUUCAUGCCUUGAUAAAAAAGCUUAGGCACUCACAUCUUUGUGUUGUGACCAUGUGACAUUUGCCUUUCCCUUUCUUAUUCAGGUAGGGCAUAUGAUUCAAGCCGAACCUGAUCCGCAGAAGAGAGAUGAAUACCUGCAGAGAUUGAUGGAUCUUCCAAACCAUAAAUGGGCUGAAAUCAUUGGGCAGGCACGCCAGAGUGUUGAUUUUCUGAAAGAUCAAGAAGUGAUCAGGACAGUUCUGAACAUAUUGCAGGUAUGGCCCUCCAUUCAAAAUUUGACUUUCUAUUAUUUAUUGAGGCAUUUUGCUGAAAAGAAAAAAAAAUUCAAUUGGUUGCUCUUCUGACCAACGGAUUAAAUGAUACAUAUGCAGUUGUCAUGAAAUUGCAUGGUGUUAUAUCAGUUUUUCACUGUAGCAUAAUAUAAUUGGUUACUUAGCUCACUUGCUGUUGGUUUUUUCCUGUACAAUUCUUAUUUCUAUAAUGUCAUUCAACUGAAGGAUUGAAUAUAAUUCUCGUAAGUUUGAAUGUUUUGUGAUGAUCUUAUUUUUUAUUCAAGCCAUUGUUGCUUUGCAGACAAAUACAAGUGUUGCUAGUUCU